AUGGACAGAGGUCAGUGGUCAGUGUCAGUGGCCAGUGUCAGUGGUCAGUGUCAGCGGUCAGUGUCAGUGGUCAGUCAGUGGUCAGUGCUCAUUGCGGGGAUGGACAGAGGUCAGUGGUCAGUGUCAGCGGUCAGUGCAGCGGUCAGUGUCAGUGGUCAGGGCAGAUGGACACUGGGCUGGGGCCCCACAGCGCAACUGGACAUCGUUAAACCUCACCUGGCAACACCCAAAUUCACCUGGCCACACCCAAACCUCACCUGGCCACACCCAAACCCCACCUGGCCCCUCCCCAUCCCCACCUGGCCCCUCCGCUCUCACGUGGCCCCACCCAAACCCCACCUGGCCACGCCCAAACCCCACCUGGCCCCACCCCCUCUCACCUGGCCCCGCCCCCUCACCUGCGCGGGCGUCAGGCUCAGGCCGGGUUUCAGGGGGGCGGUCCCAGGUGCGCCCGGCCCCGCCCCCGCCGCCUUCAGGGGCUGCAGCAGCAGCUGCUUCACCUGCCUGGCCCCGCCCCCCGCCGCCGAGGCCACGCCCCCCGCCGCCGCCGAGGCCACGCCCCCCGCGCGGAUGGUGGGCGGGGCCAGCACCUUGGCCAGGGUGACUUUGCCGCCGUUGGGCGUGGCCGGGGCGGGGCCUCCUCCCGGCGGGGGCGGGGCUUUGAGGAUGACGAUUUUGUGGGGAGGGGCUCCCGCCGCGGGGGGCGGGGCGGGUGGGGGAGGGGCGGAGACCCCCAUGAAGGGGUUCCCCUGACUCAGCACUUCCGCUUCCGGUUGGGGGAGGGGCUGGGCGGGGCUGGGGGCGGGGCUGGGGGCGGGGGCGGGGUCAAGGGCCCCUGAGAGCCCCAAAGCUUCGGCCAGGGGGUCGGAGGAGGGAGGGGGAAGGGCCUCGGAGGAAGGGGGCGGGGCAGGGGGCGGGGCCACCAGCUCCUCGGGGGGGAGGGGGUCCAGGCCGAACAGGUUGGGGUCGUCGAAGAGAUCCAUGAUGGGGUCGGCCAUGAUGGGGGGCGGGGCCUCCAAAUGGUAAUUAGGGGAGGGGGUGGGGUCACGGGAAUUUAAAAUUUGGGAGGGGUUUGGGGGGGUGGGACUGAAAAAUGGGGAUUUGAGAGGAUUUUGGGGGGUUCUGACCCCAAAAAUGGGGAUUUGGGGGGUUUGGACCCAAAAAUUCUGAAUUUAGGGGGUUCUGACUGCAAAAUUGGGAAUUUCGGAGGUUCUCACCCCAAAAAUGGGAAUUUGGACCCCAAAAAUGGGAAUUUGGGGGGUUCUGGGGGCGUUGAAACCGAAAAAUGUUAAUUUGAGGCGGUUCUGACCCCAAAAAUGGGAAUUUGGGAGAUUUAGACACCAAAAAUGGGAAUUUGGGGGUUCUGACCCCAAAAUAUGAGAAUUGGGGGGGGUUUAGACCAAAAAAAUGGGAAUUUGGGAGGUUCUGAGCCAAAAAAUGGGAAUUUGGGGGGUUUAGAUGCCAAAAUAUAGGAAUUUGAGCAGUUCUGACCCAAAAAAUGGGAAUUUGGGGGAUUCUGGUGAGGGCUGAAACCGAAAAAUGUUAAUUUGGGGAAUUCUGACCCAAAAAAAUGGGAAUUUGGGCGGUUCUGACCCCAAAAAACGGAAUUUCGAGGGAGCCUGACCGUGUCAAUCAAAAAUUUGGGGGGGUUUGGGGGUCCUGAUCCCCAAAAUCUCAAAUUUGGAGAGGGAAAGGGGAACUGGGGGCGGCUGAACCCCAAAAUCAGAAAUUUGGAGGGGAUUUGGGAGCUUCAACCCCAAAAAUCAAAAAUUCGGGGCAGAUUUGGGCGGCCUGAGCACCAAAAUCCAAAAUUCGGGGCAGAUUUGGGGGUCCCAGCCCCAAAAAUCCGAAAUUUGGGGCAGAUUUGGGGGUCCCAGCCCCAAAAAUCUGAAAUUUUGGAGCUUCUGGGGGAAUUUUGGGGGUCCUGACCCCAAAAAUCCAAAAUUCGAAAGGUUCUGGGGGGGAUUGGAGGGGUCCCACCCCAAAAACCCCAAAAUUUGGGGAGAUCUGGGGGUCCUGACCCCAAAAAAUGGAAAUUUAGAGGGGACCCCGGAAAUUUUGGGGGCCCACAACCCCAAAAAACUGGAAAAUCCUGGGGUCCCCAACCCCAAAAUUGGAAAUUUGGGGGGUCCUGGGGGUCCCAAACCCCAAAAAAUGGAAAUUUUGGGAGGAUUUAGGGGGUCCUGGGGGGAAUUGGGGGGUCCUGGGGGAAUUUGGGUUUUUUGGGGGGGAAUUUGGGGGAAAUUUGGAGGGAAAUUUGGGAUUUUUGGGGGUAAUUUGGGAUUUUGGGGGGAAUUUGGGGUUUUUUUGGGGGAAUUUGGGGGUUUUGGGGGGAAUUUGGGGGUAAUUUGGGAUUUUUGGGGGGAAUUUGGGGGUUUUUGGGGGGCUCUUCUCAGGCUGGGGGGGCUCCGGAGCUCCAGGCUGUGGGGAGAGAAAAAAGGGGGGGUCAGGGGGACCCCAAAAUCGGGGGAUUUUCACCCAAAAAUUGGGACCCCAAACUGGGGGAACUGGGGUCCCAAACUGGCCCAAACUGGGACCCCAAAUUAGGGGAACUGGGACCCCAAUUUGGGAUAACUGGGAUCCCAAACUGGGACCCUAAAAUCGGGGUAACUGUGACCCUAAUUUAGGAUAAGCGAGACCCCAAACUGGGACCCCAAAACGGCCCAAACUGGGACCCCAAUUUGAGGGUAACUGGCACCCAAUUUAGGACAAACUGGGACCCCAAACUGGCCCAAACUGGGACCCUAAAAUGGGGGUAACUGGGACUCUGAUUUGGGGUAACUGGGAUCCCAAACUGGGAGUCACUGGGACCCAAAUGUGGCCCAAACUGGGACCCCAAUUUAGGAGAAACUGGGACCCCAAACUGGCCCAAACUGGGACCCCAAAACUGGGGUAACUGGGACCCUAAUUUAAGGUGAGACCCCAAACUGGGAGUAACUGGAACCCCAAACUGGCCCAAACUGGGACCCUAAAAUGGGGGUAACUGUGACCCUAAUUUAGAGUAAGCGAGACCCCAAACUGGGAGUAACUGGGACCCAAUUUCGGAUAACUGGGACCCCAAACUGGGACCCAGCCCGGCCCACCCGGACCCCACCGAGACCCCCAUGAGGGCCGCUCCCCUUCCCCCCCUCCCCUCACGACCCCCAUGAGGGCCGAUCCCCCCUCCCCCCCCCUCCCCCGUUCCCGCCUUACCUGUCCCGCCGAGCCCUGAGGGAAAAGGGGGGGAAGGGAAGGGAAAUCCGCCACCCCCCUCGCUUCGGGCCGAUAUUCGGGGGGGGUUUCCCCACAGAAAUGAAUUUUCGUUUUUAAAAAUAAUUAAAUUUUUAAAAAGGAGGGGGAGGAGAGAGGGGGGUGUGGGGGGGGGGGGGGCCCCGCUCGUGCCCCCCCCGCGCGCGCGCGCCGAGCCCGGGGGCGCCCUCGCGGAGCGGCUCGCGGCGCAACGCAACGCGCGCACGGCCACGCCCCCUUCCCGGCCGGCCACGCCCC
rnacentral:lncRNA from 14 species